rnacentral:rRNA from 1 species
UACGUAGGGGGCAAGCGUUGUCCGGAUUUACUGGGCGUAAAGCGUGUGUAGGCGGUCUCAUAGGUCGGAUGUGAAAGCCCCGGGCUCAACCCGGGAAGUGCAUUCGAAACUGCGAGGCUAGAGUAUCGGAGAGGUUGGUGGAAUUCUCGGUGUAGAGGUGAAAUUCGUAGAUAUCGAGAGGAACACCGGUGGCGAAGGCGGCCAACUGGACGAAUACUGACGUUGAGACACGAAAGCGUGGGGAGCAAACAGG